GUGUUAUCAAAGGCGAGCGAGGCGCCCAGGCGAGGCGCCAGGCGAUGCGAGGCGCACCUCUGUCGCCUCGACUGGAACGCCUCGCUGGACUUUGGGGAGGCGACGCCUCAGGCCGGAGGGGCGAGAGGCGACGCAGGCGAGAGGCGACGCCUCUUCACAGCAACGCACAGCUGCUUUUCCUCAACCUCACGAAGACAACAGAGCAUCGCAGACGCCUCAACCUCACGUCUCUUCCUCGACUUCACGAUGACAGGGACAGAUCAGAUCAUCAGGGUUCUUCCUUUCGAGAGUCAGGACAG